GCCCGUGUGGCUCAGUGGAUAGAGCAUCAGCCUGCGGCCUGGAGGGCCACGGGUUCGAUUCCGGUCAAGGGCA
rnacentral:tRNA from 1 species